rnacentral:lncRNA from 1 species
CACUUGUUACCAUCUGAGAUAUUAUGCAUCAUUUAUUUACUUCUUUUUUCCCAAUUCCAAGCCUAAUGAAAGUUUCAUAAAGUAGGGCUUUGUCUCUUUUGCUCUCUGCUGUGUCUUCAGCAACCAGAAAUUUGGCUGACAAUUAAGCACUCAAUAAACAUUCAAUAAGUACUGUUUGAAAAGUGCCUGAACCACUAAAAUAUUUCUUGUUGAAGGUCAUUGGUGACACCACUUAUGAAGGGCAUUAGAAACUUAAUGUUCCAGUGCCUGGCUGCUUCGGUAAAGUGACAUUAGGGUAAAGUGACAUUAGGGGUUUUCUUCUGACCUCGCUCGACUCAGAUAGGAAAUGUAAGGACUCAAUGAAAGGUUUAGAAUGGGUACUGUGGCAAAAGGAACUAGCAACAAAUCAGGGAAUUGUUAGAAUAAAUAGUUCAAAAGAAUCCAGCUGAAGUUGUGGACCAUGUAUUUGUAGAAUAUGGAAUAUGAUGAAAUAAAUUGUAAUUAGUUUGUAAAAUCACACAGUGAGAUACCACAAAAGAAAUUUGUAUAUAUUAGCAUGGAUGAAUAUCCAGUCUCAAGCAUAAUAUUAAGCAAAUAAUAAAAGCUGCAGAAAGAGAUAUAUGCACAGUAUUUACAUAAAGCUUAAAAACACGCAAAAUUAUUGGUUUAAGAUAAUAAAAUUGCAAACAUUUAAUAUGGAGCUUCCUAUGCACCAGGUACUAUUCUAAGAUUUUACCUAUAUUAAAUGAGUUAUUCUUAAAAGAUUGGUACUAUAUAUGUAUAACUGAUUCACUUUGCUGUACACCUGAAACUAACAAAACAUUGUAAGUCAACUAUAUUCCAAUAAACUUUUUUAAAAAAUUGUAAUUAUCAGUCAAUAAGGAAAAUACAGAUAGGAUUGUGCUUCACAUUCAUUUCUUUUAGAGCAAAAAAAGGGUUUUUAUUACUUGGAGAGAGCUGAAAAGAGCUUAACAGUUUUCAAUUGCAACCAUUUUAUCAAACAUUGAUAAGGAAGGUGAGUAUCAUGAAAGGCAAAGACCACAAUGCAUUAGAAUCUUUCUUUUUUCUUGCAUUCUCUUUUAAUAAUUCUGCCAAAAUAUGGCUGUAGGGUGGUAUGAUAUGUGAAGUAAGAAAAUACAGGGACUGAAUUUUCUAGUCACAUUCUUUCAGAAAGAGAAAAUAACAAAUUAUUUCUGUACAAUCCUAUAAAUGCAUGCACAUUCUAACCUGGUACAGGGUUAAGUGUUUAUUGAUAAUUUAAUUACCUACAACUAAGAUUAUAUAUAAUAUGUACAGAUAUAUAUAUAAAUUUUAUAUGAUAAAUUUAAUUACCUAUAACUAUAUAUUGAUAAAUUUAAUUACCUAUAACUAAGUUUAUAUAGAUAUACAUACAGAUAUAUGACUAAAUAUAUUAUUAGAACCUGAGUAUUCACUAUGUGUAAUAGUCCCCACUUGGUAUAGUACAGAAUAAAUACUCAUAGUAAAUACAUGGAAUUAAAUUAUGAAUAAAUCCUUCAAGGCGAAUGCUCCUCUUAUGUAAAGCAUAAGUUUAAUCACAGUAUUCACAUAAUAGCAAUUUUAGUUAGCAUUUUUAUCAGAUUAGAUUAUUUUGAAAAACAUCUUCAUAAAAACAAUGAUUGAGUUUUGAGAGAAAAUUCUAGUUAAUUUUUUUUUAUACAGUUCUUAUAGAGUAUGAAUGUACUUCACAAAAACAACAUACUUCACAAAAACAAUGAUUGAGUUAUGAGAGAAAAUUCUACCAGUUAAAUUGUUUUUUUAAUACAGUUCUUAUAGAGUAUGAAUAUCCCCUGUGCCUUCAGAGGAAAUGAACUAUCAUUGUUUUUAAUGACUGCUUAAAGCAGAUGGUUGCUAUUGCAGUUUUCAUUCGAUUUAAAAAGUUAUCAGAGUUCCUAUUGUAGCUCAGAAGUAACAAAUCCAACUAGUAUCCCUGAGGACAUAAGUUCUAUCCCUAGCCUCAUUCAGUGGGUUAAGAAUCUUGUAUUGCUGUGGUGGUCUUAUAGGCUUGCCGAUUUAACCUCUCCUUCCAUGUGGUGCAUGUGUGGCCC